rnacentral:rRNA from 1 species
UACGAAGGGGGCUAGCGUUGCUCGGAAUCACUGGGCGUAAAGGGUGCGUAGGCGGGUCUUUAAGUCAGGGGUGAAAUCCUGGAGCUCAACUCCAGAACUGCCUUUGAUACUGAAGAUCUUGAGUUCGGGAGAGGUGAGUGGAACUGCGAGUGUAGAGGUGAAAUUCGUAGAUAUUCGCAAGGAACACCAGUGGCGAAGGCGGCUCACUGGCCCGGUACUGACGCUGAGGUGCGAAAGCGUGGGGAGCAAACAGG